rnacentral:rRNA from 1 species
CCUACGGGAGGCAGCAGUGAGGAAUAUUGGUCAAUGGACGCAAGUCUGAACCAGCCAUGUCGCGUGCAGGAAGACGGCUCUAUGAGUUGUAAACUGCUUUUGUACGAGGGUAAACGCAGAUACGUGUAUCUGUCUGAAAGUACCGUAUGAAUAAGGAUCGGCUAACUCCGUGCCAGCAGCCGCGGUAAUACGGAGGAUUCAAGCGUUAUCCGGAUUUAUUGGGUUUAAAGGGUGCGUAGGCGGUCGGUUAAGUUAGUGGUGAAAGCCCGCGGCUCAACUUCGGAAUUGCAUCUGAUACUGGUCGGCUAGAGUAUAGUAGCGGUAGGCGGAAUGUGUGGUGUAGCGGUGAAAUGCUUAGAGAUCAUGCAGAACACCGAUUGCGAAGGCAGCUUGC